rnacentral:rRNA from 1 species
AUAAGCGGAGGAAAAGAAACCAACAGGGAUUGCCUCAGUAACGGCGAGUGAAGCGGCAACAGCUCAAAUUUGAAAUCUGGCUUCUUUCAGGGCCCGAGUUGUAAUUUGUAGAGGAUGCCUUCGGGUGUGGCCCCGGCCUAAGUUCCUUGGAACAGGACGUCACAGAGGGUGAGAAUCCCGUAUGUGGCUGGAGGUCUAUACCCAUGUGAAGCUCCUUCGACGAGUCGAGUUGUUUGGGAAUGCAGCUCAAAAUGGGUGGUAAGUUUCAUCUAAAGCUAAAUACUGGCGGGAGACCGAUAGCGCACAAGUAGAGUGAUCGAAAGAUGAAAAGCACUUUGGAAAGAGAGUUAAAAAGUACGUGAAAUUGUUGAAAGGGAAGCGCUUGCGACCAGACUUGCCCUCGGUUGAUCAACCGGUGUUCUUCACCGGUGCACUCGGCUGAGGUCAGGCCAGCAUCAGUUCAGGCGGUUGGAGAAAGACCUUGGGAAUGUGGCUCCCUCCGGGGAGUGUUAUAGCCCAUGGUGUCAUGCGACCAGCCUGGACUGAGGACCGCGCUUCGUGCUAGGAUGCUGGCGUAAUGGUCGUAAGCGACCCGUCUUGAAACACGGACCAAGGAGUCUAACAUCUAUGCGAGUGUUUGGGUGUAAAACCCAUGCGCGUAAUGAAAGUGAACGGAGGUGGGAACCCUUGAGGGUGCACCAUCGACCGAUCCUGAUGUCUUCGGAUGGAUUUGAGUAAGAGCAUAGCUGUUGGGACCCGAAAGAUGGUGAACUAUGCCUGAAUAGGGUGAAGCCAGAGGAAACUCUGGUGGAGGCUCGCAGCGGUUCUGACGUGCAAAUCGAUCGUCAAAUUUGGGUAUAGGGGCGAAAGACUAAUCGA